rnacentral:misc_RNA from 1 species
CGGGACCCAAUUUUUCUUUAAGAUGAGGUGGAGUCGUCAACAAUGGGACAAGAAGAAGCUCUUCCAUAAAGUAGUAGCAGCAGUGAUGAUCAUCUCUCAUUGUGUUGUGUGUUGAUAAAAGAGGAGAUUAAGGUUGUUCUUUUAGGGUUUUCUUGAAUGGUGAAGACAGUGUUGGAUAAAGGGUGGUUAGCUGCCCGAUCCACUGAAGUUGAAAUCAAUGGAGUACAGCUCACUACUACUCAACCUCCAACACAACCUCUUAAUUCUCCUUGGAUGGAAGCUUCUGUUCCCGGAACGUAAUGUUUCUCUUUUUAGUCAAAAUCAG